rnacentral:rRNA from 1 species
CCCUUAGAUGUUCUGGGCCGCACGCGUGCUACACUGAGUGGAUCAGCGGGUCAGGUUGCGCGAAAGUGUUUCCUAAUCUUUAAAUCCGCUCGUGAUGGGGAUUGACGGUUGCAAUUUUCCGUCAUGAACGAGGAAUACCUUGUAAGCGCGGGUCAUCAUCCCGCGCUGAAUACGUCCCUGCCCUUUGUACACACCGCCCGUCGCUCCUACCGAUUGAGUGGUCCGGUGAGGCUUUGGGAUCUAAGCGGAAAGAGCGUUUCGCUGUUUCUGCCCGGAAAACUCAGUCGAACCUUAUCAUUUAGAGGAAGGAGAAGUCGUAACA